rnacentral:rRNA from 1 species
UACGAAGGGGAGCUAGCGUUGCUCGGAAUUACUGGGCGUAAAGGGUGCGUAGGCGGGUCUUUAAGUCAGGGGUGAAAUCCUGGAGCUCAACUCCAGAACUGCCUUUGAUACUGAAGAUCUUGAGUUCGGGAGAGGUGAGUGGAACUGCGAGUGUAGAGGUGAAAUUCGUAGAUAUUCGGAAGAACACCAGUGGCGAAGGCGGCUCACUGGACUGGUAUUGACGCUGAGGUGCGAAAGCGUGGGGAGCAAACAGG